rnacentral:lncRNA from 1 species
GGUUGAGGGUGAACACGGAUGCGGCCACUUUCAUUUUUGACAAAAACCAUCUGAAAAGUGACGUUUUUUGGCAUAUUUGAUAGAUUUUUCAUAUUUAAGCUUGAAUCAGAGCGUUUUUAAUGACUUAAUCACUUAAAAUCCUUCACAUAAACUCAUCGAAUCAAUUGAAAUAGACGCUUAAGUGUUUAAAAAGUGUCCAAAAACUUUCGUUAGAUGAACCUGAAAUUUGAGGCCAAAUUCGGCCCUUACCGGACCUACUCCUUUGCUUUCGCAAAU